AGUCGACGAUGAAGCCCUUCGGGGUGGAUUAGUGGCGAACGGGUGAGUAACACGUGGGCAAUCUGCCCUUCACUCUGGGACAAGCCCUGGAAACGGGGUCUAAUACCGGAUAACACUCCUCAGAGCAUUUUGAGGGGUUAAAAGCUCCGGCGGUGAAGGAUGAGCCCGCGGCCUAUCAGCUUGUUGGUGGGGUAAUGGCCUACCAAGGCGACGACGGGUAGCCGGCCUGAGAGGGCGACCGGCCACACUGGGACUGAGACACGGCCCAGACUCCUACGGGAGGCAGCAGUGGGGAAUAUUGCACAAUGGGCGAAAGCCUGAUGCAGCGACGCCGCGUGAGGGAUGACGGCCUUCGGGUUGUAAACCUCUUUCAGCAGGGAAGAAGCGAAAGUGACGGUACCUGCAGAAGAAGCGCCGGCUAACUACGUGCCAGCAGCCGCGGUAAUACGUAGGGCGCAAGCGUUGUCCGGAAUUAUUGGGCGUAAAGAGCUCGUAGGCGGCUUGUCACGUCGGAUGUGAAAGCCCGGGGCUUAACCCCGGGUCUGCAUUCGAUACGGGCUAGCUAGAGUGUGGUAGGGGAGAUCGGAAUUCCUGGUGUAGCGGUGAAAUGCGC
rnacentral:rRNA from 1 species